rnacentral:rRNA from 1 species
GGCUUACCAUGCAAGUCGAGGGGCAGCAUUUCAGUUUGCUUGCAAACUGGAGAUGGCGACCGGCGCACGGGUGAGUAACACGCUAUCCAACCUGCCGAUAACUCGGGGAUAGCCUUUCGAAAGAAAGAUUAAUACCCGAUGGUAUAAUCAGACCGCAUGGUCUUAUUAUUAAAGAAUUUCGGUUAUCGAUGGGGAUGCGUUCCAUUAGGCAGUUGGUGAGGUAACGGCUCACCAAACCUUCGAUGGAUAGGGGUUCUGAGAGGAAGGUCCCCCACAUUGGAACUGAGACACGGUCCAAACUCAUACGGGAGGCAGCAGUGAGGAAUAUUGGUCAAUGGGCGCAGGCCUGAACCAGCCAAGUAGCGUGAAGGAUGACUGCCCUAUGGGUUGUAAACUUCUUUUAUAUGGGAAUAAAGUUUUCCACGUGUGGAAUUUUGUAUGUACCAUAUGAAUAAGGAUCGGCUAACUCCGUGCCAGCAGCCGCGGUAAUACGGAGGAUCCGAGCGUUAUCCGGAUUUAUUGGGUUUAAAGGGAGCGUAGGUGGACAGUUAAGUCAGUUGUGAAAGUUUGCGGCUCAAACCGUAAAAUUGCAGUUGAUACUGGCUGUCUUGAGUACAGUAGAGGUGGGCGGAAUUCGUGGUGUAGCGGUGAAAUGCUUAGAUAUCACGAAGAACUCCGAUUGCGAAGGCAGCUCACUGGACUGCAACUGACACUGAUGCUCGAAAGUGUGGGUAUCAAACAGGAUUAGAUACCCUGGUAGUCCACACAGUAAACGAUGAAUACUCGCUGUUUGCGAUAUACAGUAAGCGGCCAAGCGAAAGCAUUAAGUAUUCCACCUGGGGAGUACGCCGGCAACGGUGAAACUCAAAGGAAUUGACGGGGGCCCGCACAAGCGGAGGAACAUGUGGUUUAAUUCGAUGAUACGCGAGGAACCUUACCCGGGCUUAAAUUGCAUUUGAAUANUNUGGAAACAGNUUAGCCGCAAGGCAAAUGUGAAGGUGCUGCAUGGUUGUCGUCAGCUCGUGCCGUGAGGUGUCGGCUUAAGUGCCAUAACGAGCGCAACCCUUAUCUUUAGUUACUAACAGGUCAUGCUGAGGACUCUAGAGAGACUGCCGUCGUAAGAUGUGAGGAAGGUGGGGAUGACGUCAAAUCAGCACGGCCCUUACGUCCGGGGCUACACACGUGUUACAAUGGGGGGUACAGAAGGCAGCUACCUGGUGACAGGAUGCUAAUCCCAAAAGCCUCUCUCAGUUCGGAUCGAAGUCUGCAACCCGACUUCGUGAAGCUGGAUUCGCUAGUAAUCGCGCAUCAGCCAUGGCGCGGUGAAUACGUUCCCGGGCCUUGUACAACACCGCCCGUCAAGCCAUGAAAGCCCGGGGGUACUCUGAAUGUAUCGUAACCGCAAGGAGCUCCUAGGAAA